UACGUAGGGGCCGAGCGUUGUCCGGAGUUAUUGGGCGUAAAGCGCGCGCAGGCGGCCUCGCGCGCCCGACGUGAAAGCCCCCGGCUUAACCGGGGAGGGUCGUUGGGGACGGCGGGGCUUGAGGGCGGGAGAGGUCGGUGGAAUUCCCGGUGUAGUGGUGAAAUGCGUAGAGAUGUGGAGGAACACCAGUGGCGAAGGCGACUCUUUGGCCUGUAACUGACGCUGAGGCGCGAAAGCGUGGGGAGCAAACAGG
rnacentral:rRNA from 1 species